GAUGAACGCUGGCGGCGUGCCUAAUACAUGCAAGUCGAGCGAACAGAUGAGGAGCUUGCUCCUCUGACGUUAGCGGCGGACGGGUGAGUAACACGUGGAUAACCUACCUAUAAGACUGGGAUAACUUCGGGAAACCGGAGCUAAUACCGGAUAAUAUAUUGAACCGCAUGGUUCAAUAGUGAAAGACGGUUUUGCUGUCACUUAUAGAUGGAUCCGCGCCGCAUUAGCUAGUUGGUAAGGUAACGGCUUACCAAGGCAACGAUGCGUAGCCGACCUGAGAGGGUGAUCGGCCACACUGGAACUGAGACACGGUCCAGACUCCUACGGGAGGCAGCAGUAGGGAAUCUUCCGCAAUGGGCGAAAGCCUGACGGAGCAACGCCGCGUGAGUGAUGAAGGUCUUCGGAUCGUAAAACUCUGUUAUUAGGGAAUAACAAAUGUGUAAGUAACUAUGCACGUCUUGACGGUACCUAAUCAGAAAGCCACGGCUAACUACGUG
rnacentral:rRNA from 1 species